GGGCUCACACAAGCGGUGGAGCAUGUGGCUUAAUUCGAGGCUACGCGAAGAACCUUAUCCUGGGCUUGACAUGUGCGAAAGCGGUGGGCAGUAGGGGGCGGAAACGUUCCCCCAACGGUAUCCAGUCCGGAUCCCACUACAGGUGCUGCAUGGCUGUCGUCAGCUCGUGUCGUGAGAUGUUGGGUUAAGUCCCGUAACGAGCGAAACCCUUGUUUCCAGUUGCCAGCGCGUCACGGCGGGGACUCUGGAAAGACUGCCGGUGUUAAACCGGAGGAAGGUGGGGAUGACGUCAAGUCCUCAUGGCCUUGAUGCCCAGGGCUGCACACGUGCUACAAUGCCGUGAACAAAGGGACGCCAACCCGCGAGGGGGAGCCAAUCCCAAAAAACACGGCCCAGUUCAGAUCGAAGGCUGCAACUCGCCUUCGUGAAGUUGGAAUCGCUAGUAAUCGCAGGUCAGCAACACUGCGGUGAAUGUGUUCCUGAGCCUU
rnacentral:rRNA from 1 species